AUUGAACGCUGGCGGCAUGCUUUACACAUGCAAGUCGAGCGGCAGCGCGGGGGCAACCCUGGCGGCGAGCGGCGAACGGGUGAGUAAUGCAUCGGAACGUAUCCUCGAGUGGGGGAUAACCCAGCGAAAGUUGGGCUAAUACCGCAUGAGCUCUGAGGAGGAAAGCGGGGGACCUGCGAGGGCCUCGCGCUGGAGGAGCGGCCGAUGUCCGAUUAGCUAGUUGGUGGGGAAAAGGCUUACCAAGGCGACGAUCGGUAGCUGGUCUGAGAGGAUGAUCAGCCACACUGGGACUGAGACACGGCCCAGACUCCUACGGGAGGCAGCAGUGGGGAAUUUUGGACAAUGGGGGCAACCCUGAUCCAGCCAUGCCGCGUGAGUGAAGAAGGCCUUCGGGUUGUAAAGCUCUUUCGGACGGAACGAAAUGGGCGGGACUAAUACUCCUGUCUGAUGACGGUACCGUAAGAAGAAGCACCGGCUAACUACGUG
rnacentral:rRNA from 1 species